UCCCUGAUGUUUAUCAAAGGAAGUUGCCUUG
rnacentral:piRNA from 1 species